GUGACCGGUGAGUCAUCGAAUCUUUGAACGCACAUUGCGCCCGCUAGUAUUCUGGCGGGCAUGCCUGUCCGAGCGUCAUUUCAACCCUCAAGCCCCCGGGCUUGGUGUUGGGGAUCGGCGAGCCUCCGCGCCCGCCGUCCCCUAAAUCUAGUGGCGGUCUCGCUGUAGCUUCCUCUGCGUAGUAGCACACCUCGCACUGGGAAACAGCGCGGCCACGCCGUUAAACCCCCAACUUCUGAACGUUUGACCUCGGAUCAGGUAGGAAUACCCGCUGAACUUAAGCAUAUCAAUAAGCGGAGG
rnacentral:misc_RNA from 1 species